GGAAUAUUGGACAAUGGGCGAAAGCCUGAUCCAGCCAUGCCGCGUGAGUGACGAAGGCCUUAGGGUUGUAAAACUCUUUCGACGGGGACGAUAAUGACGGUACCCGUAGAAGAAGCUCCGGCUAACUUCGUGCCAGCAGCCGCGGUAAUACGAAGGGGGCUAGCGUUGUUCGGAAUUACUGGGCGUAAAGCGCGCGCAGGCGGUUCUCCAAGUCAGUGGUGAAAGCCCGGAGCUCAACUCCGGAACUGCCAUUGAAACUGUUGAACUUGAGUACGAGAGAGGUGAGUGGAAUUCCCAGUGUAGAGGUGAAAUUCGUAGAUAUUGGGAAGAACACCGGUGGCGAAGGCGGCUCACUGGCUCGUAACUGACGCUCAGGCGCGAUAGCGUGGGGAUCAAA
rnacentral:rRNA from 1 species